rnacentral:rRNA from 1 species
UACGGGGGGGCAAGCGUUGUUCGGAAUUACUGGGCGUAAAGGGCUCGUAGGUGGCCAACUAAGUCAGACGUGAAAUCCCUCGGCUUAACCGGGGAACUGCGUCUGAUACUGGAUGGCUUGAGUUCGGGAGAGGGAUGCGGAAUUCCAGGUGUAGCGGUGAAUGACGUAGAUAUCAGGAGGAACACCGGUGGCGAAGGCAAUCCCCUGGGCCUGCACUAACGCUCAUGCACGAAAGCGUGGGGAGCAAACAGGA